rfam:Triticum aestivum genome assembly, contig: Triticum_aestivum_CS42_TGACv1_scaffold_221085_3B
UAUAUAUUACCUCCGUCCCAAAAAUCUUGUCUUAGAUUUGGAUGUAUCUAACACUAAAAUGUGUCUAGAUAUAUCUGUAUCUAGACAAAUCUAAGACAAGUAAUUCGGGACGGAGGGAGUAUUAU